AUAGCACAAUGAUUAGAGGAUAAAAAAUGAAGUUUAAUUACCGGUAUGGAUUUGUUCAUCCAAGGACAACUGAAGCAAUGCCACCGCUGCUUGUACUACAGAUCCAACGGAAUAGCUGCUUUCACAAUGAUCAACCUCUCGUCGCCCCUUCCGCGUUGUUGGCGGCGUUAAUCUUUUCCUCCUCCCUUGCUCAGACGUCUCAGCCUGAAAGGGAACAAAAAGAUUGCACAUAUAUGGUCCAGACAAUCGAGGCUUAAAUAUUGGGGAAGUAUGAAUGAUUCGACAACAAUCUCACCAACCGAAGUGGUGGCUACUCGUUUUCUUUUCAAAUUUUCCUGUAACAUGAAAUGCAAAGCAAAUUAUGUGAGAUCACUAAUUGAUUUGCAAAGUA